rnacentral:rRNA from 1 species
GACGAACCGUGCAAACGUUGUUCGGAAUCACUGGGCGUAAAGAGCGUGUAGGCGGCCAGGUAGGUCUGCUGUGAAAACUCGAGGCUUAACCUCGAGCUGUCGGCGGAAACCAUCUGGCUAGAGUCCGGAAGAGGAGAAUGGAAUUCCCGGUGUAGCGGUGAAAUGCGCAGAUAUCGGGAAGAACACCCGUGGCGAAGGCGGUUCUCUGGGACGGUACUGACGCUGAGACGCGAAAGCGUGGGGAGCGAACAGG